AAGGGGCAGUAAUGCAUGGAUAACCUACCUUGGGGAUGGGGAUAGCCGUUCUAACGAGCGGGUAAUACCCAGAGAUUCAGCGGGAAGGCAUCUUUCUGCUGGGAAAUGAAUUUCGCCUCGAGAGGGGUCCAUGUGCUAUUAGCUAGUUGGUGAGGUAACGGCUCACCAAGGCUAAGAUGGCUAGCGGGUGUGAGAGCACGACCCGCGCCACUGGCACUGAGACACUGGCCAGACACCUACGGGUGGCUGCAGUCGAGGAUCUUCGUCAAUGGGCGCAAGCCUGAACGAGCGACGCCGCGUGAGCGAUGAAGGCCUUCGGGUUGUAAAGCUCGAAAGAGGGGAGAAAGCCGAAAGGUUGAUCGAUCCUCAGUAAGGACGGGCUAAGUUCGUGCCAGCAGCCGCGGUAAGACGAACUGUCCUAACGUUGUUCGGAAUCACUGGGCUUAAAGGGCGCGUAGGCGGUCCGACAAGUCAGGGGUGAAAUCCUGCAGCUUAACUGCAGAAGUGCCUUUGAUACUGUCGGUCUUGAGGGAGAUAGGGGUGUGCGGAACUCACAGUGGAGCGGUGAAAUGCGU
rnacentral:rRNA from 1 species